AUUGAACGCUGGCGGCAGGCCUAACACAUGCAAGUCGAACGAGUGGCGGACGGGUGAGUAAUGUCUGGAACUCUGCCUGGUGGAGGGGGAUAACUACUGGAAACGGUAUCUAAUACCGCAUACUAUCGUAUGCGCCCAUAUGGGAUUAGCUAGUAGGUGGGGAAAAGGCUCACCUAGGCGACGAUCCCUAGCUGGUCUGAGAGGAUGACCAGCCACACUGGAACUGAGACACGGUCCAGACUACUACGGGAGGCAGCAGUGGGGAAUAUUGCACAAUGGGCGCAAGCCUGAUGCAGCCAUGCCGCGUGUGUGAAGAAGGCCUUCGGGUUGUAAAGCACUUUCAGCGGGGAGGCGUUACCCGCAGAAGAAGCACCGGCUAACUCCGUGCCAGCAGCCGCGGUAAUAC
rnacentral:rRNA from 1 species